rnacentral:RNase_P_RNA from 1 species
GUGGGAGGAAGCUCAUUGAAGAGAUCACGUGCUGAGUGGUCAUCACUCCUCCAAUCAUCUCUGGGAAGGUCUGAGACAGGAGCCAUUCGCUGCUCCAGCAGAGCAUCACCUGAUACAGGUGAGCGGGUGAACAGAAACCACCAGUAAUGAGCUGUUCUGACAGGAGAAACAGUUGGUGCUCCGCGGCGCCUCCUGGUGGAUGUGACGCUCAGCUGCCUUGGAAGCGCCCGCGGCUGGCGGAUGAGUGCGAUGUGUGAGGGGGGGCACAGCCCCCCAACCCAACUCAGACCACUCUCCUCCCAC